rnacentral:rRNA from 1 species
AGUCGAGCGAGGUAGCAAUACCUAGCGGCAGACGGGUGCGUAACAUGUCGGAAUCUGCCUUUUGGUUCGGAACAACACGGGGAAACCUGUGCUAAUACCGGAUAAGUCCUUACGGAGAAAGUUUUAAUGCCAAAAGAUGAGCCCGCAUUUGAUUAGCUAGUUGGUGAGGUAAAAGCUCACCAAGGCGAUAAUCAAUAGCUGAUUUGAGAGGAUGAUCAGCCACACUGGGACUGAGAUACGGCCCAGACUCCUACGGGAGGCAGCAGUGGGGAAUCUUGCACAAUGGGCGAAAGCCUGAUGCAGCGAUGCCGCGUGAGUGAAGAAGGCCUUUGGGUUGUAAAGCUCUUUUGUCGGGAAAGAUAAUGACUGUACCCGAAGAAUAAGGUCCGGCUAACUUCGUGCCAGCAGCCGCGGUAAUACGAAGGGACCUAGCGUAGUUCGGAAUUACUGGGCGUAAAGAGUAUGUAGGCGGCUAGAUAAGUUAAUUGUGAAAGCCCAAAGCUUAACUUUGGAAUUGCAAUUAAAACUAUUUAGCUGGAGUAUGAUAGAGGAAAGCGGAAUACAUAGUGUAGAGGUGAAAUUCGUAGAUAUUGUGUAGAACACCAGUUGCGAAGGCGGCUUUCUGGAUCAUUACUGACGCUGAGAUACGAAAGUAUGGGUAGCGAAGAGGAUUAGAUACCCUCGUAGUCCAUACCAUAAACGAUGAUUAUUAGAUGUGGGGAAUUAUUUCUCUGUAUCAUAGCUAACGCGUUNAAUAAUCCGCCUGGGGAGUACGACCGCAAGGUUAAAACUCAAAUGAAUUGACGGGGACCCGCACAAGCGGUGGAGCA